rnacentral:lncRNA from 1 species
CACGGAACUUAUAUGUUACAUUAUUAUGAAAGUAGAACAAUGGUGGAUUUAAAAUCUUUUGAACAAAUUGUACGAACUCAUUACAGUGAUAUAUGGAGAGAGUCCUUGAUAAAUAAGCCAAAGCUACGAUCUUACUUAAACUUUAAAACAAACUUCGAACAGAGCACUAUGUAAAAACUAAAUCUUACGAAACACGAGCGAUCUGUGCUAGCCCAGUUUAGAUGCGGGAUAUUACCGAUCAGAAUUGAGACUGGUAGAUAUAUUGGGGAACCAGUAGAAAACAGACUGUCGUUUUUGUAACUCUCAAAAUGUUGAAAGUGAGCUACAUUUUCUUAUAAACUGCACAUUUUAUAAUGAUAUCAGACAAACUGUUUUUAGCGAGAUAUUAAUGGUGCCUGACUAUACGCAACUAGAUGACCAGGGAAAAUUAACAUUUCUAAUGGUGAACCAUCCAAGGAAAAUAGCUAAAUACUUAGCAGCGUCACUUUUCCGUAGAAAACAAACAGUUUACUCUAGUUAACAUUCUUAAACUUUUUUACAAACUUUAGAUGAAUUUAACAUUAUAUGAACUUUUACAAUCGUUAAUUCUUAAUCUAUAAUUAUCUGUAUUUAAAUUUGAAUUGGCAAUUGACACGUGAUAUUAGAACAUUUAUAUUGAACUAAAAGUAAAAGGUGACUUAUUGGUCCAUUGGGCCGGGUGUAUUAUAUAUGUAAUUAUAUUUUGUACAAAUUUAUAUAUUU